rnacentral:tRNA from 1 species
GCCCGGCUGGCUCAGUCGGUAGAGCAUGUGACUCUUGAUCUCAGGGUCGUGAGUUCAGCCCCACGUUGGGUG